rnacentral:rRNA from 1 species
CCUACGGGCGGCAGCAGUGAGGAAUAUUGGUCAAUGGACGAGAGUCUGAACCAGCCAAGUAGCGUGAAGGAUGACUGCCCUAUGGGUUGUAAACUUCUUUUAUAUGGGAAUAAAACGUUCCACGUGUGGGAUUUUGUAUGUACCAUAUGAAUAAGGAUCGGCUAACUCCGUGCCAGCAGCCGCGAUAAUACGGAGGAUCCGAGCGUUAUCCGGAUUUAUUGGGUUUAAAGGGAGCGUAGGUGGAUUGUUAAGUCAGUUGUGAAAGUUUGCGGCUCAACCGUAAAAUUGCAGUUGAAACUGGCAGUCUUGAGUACAGUAGAGGUGGGCGGAAUUCGUGGUGUAGCGGUGAAAUGCUUAGAUAUCACGAAGAACUCCGAUUGCGAAGGCAGUUCACUGGACUGCAACUGACACUGAGGCUCGAAAGUGUGGGUAUCAAACAGGAUUAGAUACCCCGGUAGUC